UGAUAUGGCAUGGUAUUUGGCUUUCGGAGUGCAACAAUAUUGGGUAAGGGCCGUCGUGUCUAGUUCGGAAGCAAAACGUUCACAAUCAGACUCAGAAGUGAACAAGCGCUAGCUAGAUUGCUUGGGCUGCUGUCUCAAGGAGGCAGACCGGAAUCUUGUUAGGACAGCCUGUGAGGACACCGCACCCUUCUGACGUGGUAGUCCCGUGUAGUUCAGUUGGCAGAGCAUGGAGCUUGCAAUGUCAUGGUUGUAGUUUCUAUUUCCAAUGGUGACCAGUAGGAAAAUGUAUUGAGUAAAAUGCAUCAGGUUAAAUUAUUCCCUGCCUAUGUUCUGCCAGGUUUUUGGGGAUUAAUAAACGAAUUCAUUAAUAUGUUGAUCAGUUAAAGCCAGGCACUUGCUUGAUUUGUUUAUCUAGUGCAAUGGCAACAGUAAAGAGCAAAGUCAUUCUUGUCUCUGACAACAGUAUGUUUCCCCUGUGUGACUUUACUAGGCUGUGUGAAUAGGCUAUUUAACGCAAACAUGUUCAGUCAAGUGAAGAAGUCUUUCGUACACUUAGCGUCACUGCAAGCUGAGGACCUAUCUGAAAUAAACAUAUACAGUUGAAGUUGGAAGUUUACAUACACUUAGGUUGGAGUCAUUAAAACGUGUUUUUCAACAACCACCCCAGUCUUGUUAACAAUAUUGGAGCAACAUCUCAAGACAUCAUCAGUCAGGAAGUUAAAGCUUUGUCUCAAAUGGGCCUUCCAAAUGAACAAUGACCCCUAGCAUACUUCCAAAGUUGUGGCAAAAUGGCUUAAGGACAACAAAGUCAAUUUGUUGGAGUGGCCAUCACAAAGCCCUGACCUCAACCCUAUAGAAAAUUUGUGGGCAGAACUGUAAAAGUGUUCGAGCAAGGAGGCCAACAAACCUGACUCAGCUCUGUCAGGAGGAAUGGGCCAAAAUUCACCAAAUUUAUUGUGGGAAGCUUGUGGAAGGCUACCCAAAAUUAUUUACCCAAGUUAAACAAUUUAAAGGCAAUGCUACCAAAUACUAAUUGAGUGUAUGUAAACUUCUGACCCACUGGGAAUGUGGUGAAAGAAAUAAAAGCUGAAAACAUUCUCCCUACUAUUAUUCUGACACUUCACAUUCUUAAAAUAAAGUGAUCCUAACUGAACUAAGACAGAGAAUUUUUACUUGGAUUAAAUGUUAGGAAUUGUGAAAACUGAGUUUAAAUGUAUUUGGCUAAGGUGUAUGUAAACUUCUGACUUCAACUGUACAUUGUACUUGUCAUUGCUAAUGUGAAAUAUGAGAUUUUUUUUAUGCUUGAAAUAACUCAUAUUCUUUACAAAUGUUAUAUUAUCUAAAGUACACAUGUCAUUUCAUUGAGGCAGAGGUGUUUCUUAGCAUUUAAGCACAACUCAUCUUGAAGGUUCCGGUAGUUGCAUUUCAUCAACACUAGAGGGCAGUGUUGUAUAGUCAUGUGCUUGUAUCUAAAAUUAUGUAAAUCAAAUCCUAGUAAUCGAUUCUCAAUUCAAGUUUGUCUGGUUUUACAGACCCUGUCUUUACUUUGUUACUACAACCCCUCCAGCGUUUCUCUCAUCUUAUCAAGUAGCAUAAGCUGCCAUAUGUUGUCUAAUGGUAUAGAAGACCCAUUCUCAUUGAAAAGCAAGUCUAGGACGCAGGUGAUGUGGUCUAUGUGCCCUAUUUAUAUGCUUUCCGUUUUAGUUUAAUUUUUACGUCUUUCAGUUUUGUACACCAAGCUUCAAAUGGCUAAAAUUACAAUAUUUUUGGUUAUGGAAAAUAUAUUUCACAGCGGUUUAAAUGGUACAAUGAUACUAUACUUGCUUGUUUUAUUACUGAAACUGAAAUAAGGUGCGAUUUCUGCGUAGUGCAUCUUUAUUAACACGUAUCAUGAGCGUUGAGACGUACCAAGGAUGGUUGGAAGUGGCCGGAGGCUUUUUCUUAUUUUUUUUCUUCACAUGACUAACAAUCUAUGGACACAUUUACCCACUGAUAAUAAGUCAAUUGUUUGUGAGAUGAAAGUGUUUUGGACAUAACUCAAAUGUGUGACCGGUGCUUUUACUUUAAAGAAAAAAGUUCUAAACAAUUUUGCUGCAGAUCUUGAUUUCUUUGAAUGCAGUUUGUCUAUUUUGCUUAACGUUUAAUGCAAUAUGAAUUCAAGAUAAGUGUAUCAUGAGUAAAUAAAGUUGAAACAACCAGGUAUCUCCGUACUCCUACGGCCAUAACCAUGGACCCUCCCACUCCCACCGUCAUGUCCGAGACUGCCAGCCCGUUGUCCAUGGCAACGUCGCCCACCAGCAACCACACUGGGGUGCCCGCGGCUGAGUCCAAAGUCUUCAUCUCUGACGUCCCUGGCACAACCCGAUGGGUCACAGGUCACAUUGUGCUGGAGCCCAGGGGGUGCGGGGUGAACCAGCGGGAGGCAGUGGAGGAAACGGCUAACAACGCCAGGUGUCUCUGUGCCCAGAAUGGAGGGUUCUUUGGUACUAGGACUGGGGAGUGUUUGGGGAAUGUAGUCAGUGACGGGGUGCAAGUGAGGGACAGCCGAGGGGAGCAGAAUGCCCAGUUUGGCAUCAGGAGGGACGUUACACUGUUUUUUGGGGAAUUUCCACGAUGAGGAGGGGAAACUGAUCCUGUCUUUUAUUUAACGAG